AUACUACUCCCUCCGUCCUGAAAUACUUGUCGGAGAAAUGCAUAAAAAUGGAUAUAUCUAGAACUAAAAUACGUCUAGAUACGUCCAUUCCCCCGACAAGUAUUUCCGGACGGAGGGAGUACGUA
rnacentral:pre_miRNA from 1 species